GCUGCUAAAGGAUAACAGCUCAUCCAUUGGCUUUAGGGACCAAAUACUCUUGGUGCAAAUCCAAGUGGCAGCU
rnacentral:tRNA from 1 species